ensembl:lncRNA
UAAAAUAAUAAUCUUUUAUUUCACAGAAGUACAAACGUAUAAAGUAAGACAAAGAGCUUAUAUUGUCGUUCACCAAAGCAGAGAUACACUACAUCUAUAAUGGACGUGUUAAUGUCUAUAGCUCUGGUCCAGGGCGACUUUGAGAACAUUACCAAACCACAACCUGGACCAGAGCUAUCUUUCUCUAUAUAAAACCAACAGCGCUAGCCCCUCCCUCCCACGCUGCCCAGCUGUGCUUGACAUGGACUGAAAUAGGUGCCGGUACUGUUUAUAUUCAGGUGCAGGAGCUUCACAAUAAAUUUCAGCUAAUAUUCGAUAAGAGGGACAUUUGAGGUGCUGGUACUCAGCUCCAGUGAGCUCCUGCCCAAGUCAGGCACGGCUGGUCAGCCAACAGAGCUCCUGCCCAAGUCAGGCACGGCUGGUCAGCCAACAGUUAUGCACAUCAAGAAAUAAAGAAAAUAUGAUACACUGAUAAAUUGUCAACAGAAAAGAUACAGACAUACAUAUAUAGCCUGGUCCAAGACAUAUACACUACCGGUCAAAAGUUUUAGAGCACCUACUCAUUCAAGGGUUUUUCUUUUCAUUUUACUAUCUUCUACAUUGUAGAAUAAUAGUGAAGACAUCAAAACUGAAAUACCACUCCAAUGAACUUAUCCUCUGCAGCAGAGGUAACUCUGGGUCUUCCUUUCAUGUGGAGGUCCUCAUGAGAGCCAGUUUCAUCAAGUUCUUGAAAUGUUUCGUAUUGACUGACUUUCAUGUUUUAAAAUAAUGAUGGACUGUCAUUUCUCUUAUUUGAGCUGUUCCUGCCAUCAUAUAGACUUGGUCUUUUACCAGAUAGGGCUAUCUUCUGUAUACCUCCCCUACCUUGUCACAACACAACUGAUUGGCUCAAACGCAUUAAAAAGGAAAGAAAUUUCACAAAUUCACUUUUAACAGCGCACGCCUGUUAAUUGAAAUGCAUUCCAGGUGACUACCUCAUGAAGCUGGUUGAGAGAAUGCCAAGAGUGCAAAACUGUCAUCAAGGCAAAGGGUGGCUACUUUGAAGAAUCUCAAAUAUAUUUUCAUUUGUUUAACACUUUUCGUUACUACAUGAUUCCAUGUGUGUUAUUUCAUAGUUUUGAUGUCUUCACUAUUAUUUUACAAUGUAGAAAAUAGUCAAAAUAAAGAAAAAAGCUUGAAUGAGUAGGUGUGUCCAAAUGUUUGACUGGUACUUUAUGUACAUUUUUAUUUUAUACAUUUUAGAAUAAGGGUGUAACGUAACAAAAUUUGGAAAAAGUCGAGGGGUCUGAAUAUUUUCCGAAGGCAC